UGGGAUUAUAGGCGUGAGCCACUGCGCCCGCCUGGUUCUUUGGGUUUUUAAAAUAAACAUACCUGUAAGAAGAGUACAUCUAGUGCUCUUGGCUUUCCAAUAUGUAGAAUACACUUUAAAAUCUGGUUCAAGUUUAGUUUAUAAGUAUUUUCUCUCUCAUGAAUAAAACUCUAUGUUUCCUUCGGCAUUUGAGGUAAAAAUGGGACAAUUAGGAGAAACAAAUUUUAGGUGUUUAGUCUCUUUUGAAUGAAGGAAAAACUCCCUAGAAAAAGUUCAGAGUGUGAAAUUUGAAAUGUAACUUGGUGCCACCCGAGGCUGGUUUGAUUCUCGGUAACUGCUGUAUUUAGGUACUAAGAGUCAGGGCUCUAGGAAGCUUAGAUCCCUCCUGGGCAAAUGUGACUGAUCUCGUCCCUCCUUUUUCCUUCUGCCUAAGCCUGCAGGGUGCUGUUAGCCUGGACUAGCACACUUAGAUUCCAUCUUUCAGAGUGGUUUCCGCAGUCGCCUGGGUCACUGGCGCCUAAUGAAAAGCUCCCAGAGGUUAUUCCAAAGUCUCUUGUGUUACUCCUGUGCUCCAUUUCUCAGUUUUAGGUAUUCUGUUAUCUCUGUAACCUAAAUUCUGUUAUUUCUGAAAGAAAAAUAUACAAUGUAUAUUCAUGCAUUUAAAGAUGGACCAAGUAGGCACAAAAAAAGGCAAAAUGUGGAAUGCUAUUUACUCAGUUCUUCCAUUUGUAUGAAAAUGGAAACAGAGGUGUAUGUAGGGAUAUACUUGUAUAUGUGCACAUAUUUCUACAAGGAUAGCAGUGAUGUUCAAAAUAUUUAACAACUGGUUCAGCACUGACACAGAAGUAGGUGCUGGUUUUAGAGCUCAAGGGAUUCUGGAGGUCCCCUAACAUCUAUGUAAUAAUGGAUCUAGACUCUGGGGGGCAGCACUCCAAGGCCAUGCCAGGCAGCCACCAACUGCUUCUCUGGGGAAGGGGGCUGAGGGCAGGAGGGACUUAUUUUUCAAUAUGCCCUUUAGUGCUGUUUGAAAGGUUAUUUUUUGUUUGAAUCCUAUUUAUGUGCACGUAGGUAGAUUUUCAUUUUGUUUAGCUUAGGAGAUAAGUCUUACUUUUAGAAUUUGUUUGUGGACAUUUCUGUCUAGUUAUUUGCCUCCAACCUGUCUCUAGCCUCAAGGCCAUUUCCUUUAGUUCCAUUUUGCUGAAUCCUCCACGGAGAGCUCUCCUUAAGCUUCUUAAGCCCCUCUGUUUGAGGGGAAGGGAAGACCUGGCUGAACUCCCUCUCAUAAUCUCUCAGUUCUCCCCAACCCCAACACUGGUGUCUGAGUCUCCUUUCAUUGCUUAUCUUGAGCCUCUUGUCUCUCCACCUACCAGACCUCAAUUCCAAUUCCAUUAUUAACCAGUAUAGGCAUCACGGCAUCACACUGCCUAAUCUUAUGAUCAGAAAAUAAGUGCUUUUUUUUUUUUUUUUGCGUUCCCACAACUUUUGUGCAUAUGGAGAAUGAGGUGUCCUAUACACACCAGCCCUAAUGAGAAUAGUUCUUAUAUUAGUGGUAACACUUACAUGGCUUGAGCCUCCACCUGCCUAAUGCGGACACACUGCUCCCUUCCACCUUCCCAUUAUUACUGGGAGGCAGGAUAUGGUGAUCCCUGCUAUGUGCUUCCUCUCUUGCCUGUUCUUCCACUUUGAGCUUCUUGUUGACCCCCUCCUGCCACGAGGCCACUGGGGGGCAGUGUCUCGUCUCAGUCAAAGUUGCUUUCUCCCUGGGCCCCAAAGGCCAUCAACCGCACUGUUCCUAAGUUGUGGAACGAAGCCUCUUCUCUUCCACUUUGCCUCACAUUUUUUCACUUGGGACCCCAAAGAGCAUGACAUGUAUUCAUUGUCUCACUUGAGCCCCUUCCCUCUCUACCUGCAGGUUCUCUCUCUGUAGAGGUCAGGCAUGAGUCUAUGGAGCAAGUACAGGGAACCAAAGUCACCCCACCCCCAUCCCAAGGCUGUCCUUUCCCACUCUCCUUUCUCCACUCUAAGAUACCACGAGACCAUUUUCCGGCAGUCACCUUCGCUUCAGGCUAAUCAGCACCUACAGCCAGGUCAACUGCUCCCUUAGAUUUAUCAGACCAAGUUGACUGUUUGUGGUGGGCACUACUGGGCUCAAGCUGAUAGCCUGGCCAUGCGUAUUCUGUUAAUGCCUAUCUUACUGUGUGGCACUUGUCUGCAGACAUGUCUGCUUCCCCCGUUAGACUGUGGCUUCCUUGAAAGUGAGCUCCUAACUGUGUGGUGCUCAUUUUUGUAUCUCCAGCAUGCAGUCCCCUGCCUGUUACACAGCUGACCUUGGUAAAUAGUUUUGAAAGAAUAAAUGAACACAGCCCAAUUAGCGGAGAUAUGCCAAAAGAAACAGCCCAUCUUUGCCAACACAUGCAGAGGGAGAGAAGCUCUUCUUGAAGAGGACCCACUUUCUUCUAGAGCAGCCACUCACAGCUCUCUCGACUCCUUGGACCCUCAGGGUUGGAGAAGACCCAGGGUUAGGAUAGCACUUUUGGGGGAGGUUUCAUUGACCUUGUUUUGAAAGAAUAACAUGUUGAAGAGCCAGGUGACUAGUUACAUUUUAUUGUGUACCUGCCAGUUGAAAAAAACAAGGUCAAAAACACAAAAGGAUAGAACAUGGCAAAACAUAUUGAUUAGACAGGGGAAAGCAGAUGACACACAGGGACAGGACAUUUUAUUUUUAUCAUUCCAAAUUCAGAGAAAUAUAAUUAACUCCAUGCUCGGUUCACCUAAGUUUUUGUAGCAGAGGUGAACGUGACAGAUUGAGGCACAAAUUUGUUAAUGCUGAAUAUUGGGCAUUUCUUCUGUUAUUAUUUACUGGACAUAAUCUGAUGUCAUGUGAUAGACCAUGAUAUGUAAAUGACUUCAAUCAGGAAAAAAGAUAACUUAUGUAACUUUAUCUGGCUUUAUUCUCUACACAUACUGAGAAGCAAACCCAUUAAUCACAGUCUAGGCAGAAACUCUUCAAGUAGUGUGUGAGACAAACAGAGGUAUUAAUUAUAUUUAUUAUGGUAAUAAUAUACUUAACACUUCCUUCAAGUCAUGAUAGUUGCAGAAAUUGGGAAAAAUAAGAAUACUCUAGCAGACUUACAGAUACUCAGUGGCAGUAUCACAAAUAAUCAUAAUCACAAUAAUUUCAGAGAUGAGGAAGCAGAGAGAGAGGGAGAGAGGUGUUAAACAAUUUGUUAAACAUCACACAGCUGGUAAGGAGUCUCUCUAAUUCCAAAGCAUGGCUUCUUUCCUCUACACAGCAGUGCCUCCCCAAUUAGAGAAUGUUAUAGUGUAAAAUCAUCAGAGGAAUAAUGUGAUUUCCAGUAAUUUUUAAAACGAUAUUGUCUGGUCACUUGUUCUGGUUUCUCUGUUCUACAUAACAGUAAUGCACCCCAUAAGGACGUUUUGGUCAAUAAUGGGCUGCAUAUAUGGUGGUGGUCCUGUAAGAUUAUAAUGGACCUGAAAAAUCCCCAUUGCCUAAUAACAUAGCUUUUGUCACAUAGCACAGACUCGUGGGUGUGGUGAUGCUGGUGUAAACAAACCUACCACACUGCCAGCCUUAUGAAAGUAUAGCACAUGCAUUAUGUACAGUACAUAAUACUUUAUAAUGGUAAUAAGUGUUCCUUAUGUGUUUACUAUACUUUUAAUUGUUAUUUUAGAGGGUACUGCUUCUACUUAUAUUUUUAAAACUUAACUGUGAAAGCACCUCAGGCAGGUCCUUUGGCAGGUAUUCCAGAAGAAGCAUUGUCAUCAUAGGAGAUGACAGCUCCGUGUGUGUUAUUGCUGCUGAAGACCUUCCAGUGGGACAAGAUGUGGAAGUGGAAGACAGUGAUAUUGAUGAUCCUGACCUGUGCAGGUCUAGGCUAAGAUAACUCAGCCUACUUAAAGCCCACCAGAAAGUCAGCCAACAAAUCUCCCAACUCACUCACCCACCAUCAACCCAUAAACUCGCCAGCGUGUAUUGAAGGCCUACCUUGUUGUGCUUGACACAGUGUUUGGUGCCAUGUGGAAUGACAAAGCAGGACCAGACAGCGUCCCUGCCACCCUGGUGCUUGUAAUCUAGUUGGAGAGAUACGAUAAAAAUAAAUGACACAAUUACAGAAUCUGACAGAAUGUAAUAAAGUGCUAAAUUGUGUGGUACAGACAAUUAGAGAACAAGACAGUAUAUAAUAAAGUGCUAAUUGUGUGGUACAGACAAUAAGUAUAAUAGGAGUUCAGUGAAGGGAUAGAUGAGUGUGGGCUGCAGUCUUCAGGGAAGGCUUCUCAUCAUGUCAGUGCUGCCGUGUUUAUCCAGUGCAUGACGGGAAAUGGAAUAUGAAAUAGAAGAUGGAUUAUGAACAGAAUAAUGGUGCUGAACUGUGGUAUCUCUUCUCAGGCUGGAUGAACACAGAAAGAGAGUCCUUUGAAAGGUAGCAUUCUCCAUUAAAAAAAAUCAAAUAGAGAAAUACCUUAUUUUCUUUAUUAGUUGUGUUAUAGAUAAUUUCUACAGAAACUUAAAAUCAUAUUUUAAAUUGAAUAAUGUUUUCAAUGUACCAGGAAGCUCACUAUUUAAAGGAGCCAUGUUGUAAAUCCUUUUCAUAAAUGAAAAAUACUUUUGCAUUAUUGAUGAUCACUUGUUUAUAAAAAAUUCCUCAAAGCUAAUAGUAAAUAGGUACUCUCAUACACUACUGGUGGGAUUGAUGAACCUUUUACAAGGUAACUUGGCAAUGUGUACCUAAAAUUUUGACAAUGUGCAUAUUGUUCAACCAAUCAGUUUCACUUCUGGGAAUUUAUCCUAAGGACGUAAUAAUCAUAGCUGACUGCAAGAAUAACUUUACUACAAUGAUAAUUAUCACAGCGUUAGGAUAAACUGGGAACAAUCUAAAUGCCCCCAAGGAGAGGACUGAUGAAAUAAACACAUAUUAAUAAAAUGGAAUGUAUAGUCACUAAAGUGUUACUGUAAAAAUAGGUAAUGCUGUGGGAAGUGUUCACAAUACAUAGAUAAGUGAAAAAAGCAAAUUUGAAAACUUGAAGAGUAUGAUUCCAUUUUGUUAAAAUGUGUUUUAUGCAUAAAAACAUGUUUUAUUCACAGAAACACAUUUGAGUGGUGAGGUGAUACAUGAUUUCCACUUCUUUAUGCUUUUUUGAAAUUUCCAAAUGUUUUCCAAGUUACAUGGUUUAUUUUGUAAUAAGACAUAUAUUAAAAUUCUACAGUUCUCUGAUUUAAUUUGCUUUGAAAGUUGUGAUUGUCAUAAAUUAGAUUGCCAUCUCUAGAGCCAAAGGUCUUGUGGGACAAGUAACUUCUGGGACCAGAGACAAACACGAGAAGUAUUAUUCCUUUUUCUUUUGAAUUAUAAAUGAUUUAUAUUAGCAAAAUGUAUACCUUCUUUCCUUAAACUCAUAUUCAUGUGGGAGCUGUUUGGGAGGGACACAUACUCUUUAAGGCUUAUACAACGUGAAUUUUUAGCAGCAGAGCCUGCCAGAGUGGGUGGAAAGCCCAGGGCAUGGAUUAAUUUUUAAGACGUCUGGAAUACUAAAAAUAAAAAUAAGAAAAAUGUAGAAGUAAGUGUAGAUGUGCUGAAACAGAGUUUCAAAAAUUGUGAUGAUUUUAAAUGUUUAUCUUGAACAAACUGAUGCCUUUAACACAGUAUACAGGAACAGAAAGUAAAACUUCAUGGUGACAUUAUGUCAAAGGCUGGAAUUGGAGAUCUUUGGUGCAUGCAGGAUCAAGGCCAAAUUAGGCUCUGCCUGGAAACCAUGCAGAGGAUGUGGAAUUAUUGAAAAAAAUCAGAAAAUAUGUAGAGAGGAUUUUGGAAUUUCUGGUCCAAGGGAUUUUCCAUGUCUAAAGUGAAAACAAAAUAGUUUUCUUCUGUUCCAAGAACUUUAUUUAGAACUGUUUUGAAAGGGGCCUUUCUCUGAAACAUUUCAAUACAAAACCACAUUAUUUUCUCA